GUGGCUCAGUGGCAGAGUACUUGCCUUGCAUGCAUGAGGCCCUGGGUUCGAUUCCUCAGC
rnacentral:tRNA from 1 species